rnacentral:rRNA from 1 species
UUAAAGCUAGCCUAUAUACUAAUUUAAUCGGACCUUAUAAAUCUAAUUUAUAUCACAACCUUCAAUCAAAACAUUUUUUACCUUCUAGUAUGGGUGACAGAACAAUAACCCAAGAGCAAUAGCUUAUGUACCGCAAGGGAAAGCUGAAAAAGAAAUGAAAUAAAUCAUUAAAGUACUAAAAAGCAGAGAUUAUACCUCGUACCUUUUGCAUCAUGAUUUAGCUAGAAAAACUAGGCAAAAAGAUCUUAAGUCUAUCUCCCCGAAACUAAACGAGCUACUCCGAAGCAGCAUUAUAGAGCUAACCCGUCUCUGUGGCAAAAGAGUGGGAAGACUUCCGAGUAGCGGUGAAAAGCCUACCGAGUUUAGUGAUAGCUGGUUACCCAAGAAAAGAACUUUAGUUCUGCAUUAAUUCUUUACUAUCUAGACAAGAAUUUCUCGUCAAAGAAAACUAUAAGAAUUAAUAGUUAUUUAGAAGAGGUACAGCCCUUCUAAACUAAGAUACAUCUUUUAAAGAUGGGAAAUGAUCAUAAUUAUUAAGGUUUCCACCUCAGUGGGCCUAAAAGCAGCCACCUGUUAAGUAAGCGUCGCAGCUCCAGUUUAUUACUAAACCUAUAAUUUAGAUAUUUACUCAUAACCCCCUUUAUUCUAUUGGGUUAUUUUAUAAAAAUAUAAAAGAACUUAUGCUAAAAUGAGUAAUAAAGAGAACAAAUCUCUCCCGACAUAAGUGUACGUCAGAAAGAAUUAAAUCACUGACAAUUAAUCGACCCCAGACUGAGGUCAUUAUACCAUUAAAUCAUUAACUAGAAAACCUUAUCCUUCUAUUCGUUAAUCCCACACAGGAGUGUCACCAGGAAAGA